GAUGAACGCUGGCGGCGUGCUUAACACAUGCAAGUCGAACGGAAAGGCCCAAGCUUGCUUGGGUACUCGAGUGGCGAACGGGUGAGUAACACGUGGGUGAUCUGCCCUGCACUUCGGGAUAAGCCUGGGAAACUGGGUCUAAUACCGGAUAGGACCACUUCUUGGAUGUUGUGGUGGAAAGUUUUUUCGGUGUGGGAUGAGCUCGCGGCCUAUCAGCUUGUUGGUGGGGUAAUGGCCUACCAAGGCGUCGACGGGUAGCCGGCCUGAGAGGGUGUACGGCCACAUUGGGACUGAGAUACGGCCCAGACUCCUACGGGAGGCAGCAGUGGGGAAUAUUGCACAAUGGGCGCAAGCCUGAUGCAGCGACGCCGCGUGGGGGAUGACGGCCUUCGGGUUGUAAACUCCUUUCGCUAGGGACGAAGCGUUUUGUGACGGCACCUGGAGAAGAAGCACCGGCUAACUACGUG
rnacentral:rRNA from 1 species